UUUUAGUUAGAGUUUGAUCCUAGCUCAGGAUGAACGCUGGCGGCGUGGAUAAGGCAUGCAAGUCGAACGGAAAUUUUAUCGUCAAAGAUUGAGAUUAUAUCAAGGUCAAUGAUAUCAAAAUUUUAGUGGCGAACGAGGUAGUAAUACGCAGGAACUUCCCCCGAAGUCGUGAAUAAUCUAUCGAAAGGUAGACUAAUACACGAUAGUCUCGCAAGAGUAAAGUUUUAACGCUUCGGGAAAGGCCUGUGCGAUAUCAGCUAGUUGGUAGUGUAAUGGACUACCAAGGCUAUGACGUCUAGGGGAGGUGAGAGCCUGACCCCC
rnacentral:rRNA from 1 species